rnacentral:tRNA from 1 species
GGGGCAGCAGGCUUGGCCGAAUGGUUAAGCUGUCCGCUUUGUAAGCGGAUGAUCAUGGGUUCGAUUCCCAUCUGCUCCA